GCGCGUUAUCACAAUUGAGGUAAAAGC
rnacentral:sRNA from 1 species